rnacentral:tRNA from 1 species
AGGCAAGUAGCUCAGUUGGAAGAGUACUCACCCAAUUGUGGUAAGAGGUCGUAGGUUCAAAUCCUGCCUUGUCUU